rnacentral:rRNA from 1 species
AUUGAACGCUGGCGGCAUGCCUUACACAUGCAAGUCGAACGGUAACAGGUCUUCGGAUGCUGACGAGUGGCGAACGGGUGAGUAAUACAUCGGAACGUGCCUAGUAGUGGGGGAUAACUACUCGAAAGAGUGGCUAAUACCGCAUGAGAUCUACGGAUGAAAGCAGGGGAUCGAAAGACCGUGGUCUACUAGAGCGGCCGAUGGCAGAUUAGGUAGUUGGUGGGAUAAAAGCUUACCAAGCCGACGAUCUUGAGCUAGCCUGAGAGGACGAUCAGCCACACUGGGACUGAGACACGGCCCAGACUCCUACGGGAGGCAGCAGUGGGGAAUUUUGGACAAUGGGCGCAAGCCUGAUCCAGCAAUGCCGCGUGCAGGAUGAAGGCCUUCGGGUUGUAAACUGCUUUUGUACGGAACGAAAAGCCCUGGGUUAAUACCCUGGGGUCAUGACGGUACCGUAAGAAUAAGCACCGGCUAACUACGUGCCAGCAGCCGCGGUAACAC